UAGAAAUAUAGUAUAUGACAAUGAUAAAAAAGGUGGACUGUAGGUAAAUGAGAUUAUACUAUUUUAAGAAUCCCAAAUUAUGUGUGAAUACUAUAUUAUUUCAAGAUGAAGUAUGAUAAGUUAAGGAUACAUAUUGUGACUCCUAAAGCAAUUACUAAAACAAAAAGUAUAAAGAGGUAUAAUUAAAAAACCAAUAGAGUCCCUCGCGUAGGGCCCCACGGCGCCUGCGGCGCGCUGCGCGGCCGGCCUAGGCGCCCGGGUGCUGGGUGUGUAGCCUCUUUGCCUCAUUGUCCGCACCAUGAAGAUCUGGACUUCGGAGCAUGUCUUUGACCACCUAUGGGAAACUGUCACCACGGCUGCAAUGCAGAAACACCCAAACCCUAUGAACCCGAGUGUGGUGGGAGUUGAUGUGUUGGACAGACAUGUAGAUCCCUCCGGGAAGUUGCACAGCCAUAGACUUCUGAGCACAGAGUGGGGACUGCCUUCCAUUGUGAAGUCUCUUUUUGGUGCAGCAAGAACCAAAACAUAUGUGCAAGAACAUUCUGUAGUUGAUCCUGUAGAGAAAACAAUGGAACUUAAAUCUACUCAUACUUCAUUUACAAAUAUGGUUUCAGUAAAUAAGAGACUUAUGUACAAACCACAUCCCCAGGACCCAGAAAAAACUUUUUUGACUCAAGAAGCCAUAAUCACUGUGAAAGGAGUUAGCCUUAGCAGUUACCUUGAAGGACUGAUGGCAAGUACCAUAUCUUCAAAUGCUCAUAAAGGCCGAGAAGCAAUGGAAUGGGUAAUACGUAAAUUAAAUGCCGAGAUUGAAGAACUGACAGCUUCAGCAAGAGGAAGCAUAAGGACUCCAAUGGCAGCAGCAGCAUUUUUAGAAAAACGAUAAUACAAGUUGGUAGAUAACGUUGGGUGCCCCAGGUCUCUCCAAGCUGGCAAUAUUUAUUUGUUAUUUAAAAAAUACAACUAUAUUUUAGGUAGAAUUUUUCUUUUUUUAAUAAGCUGAUUUAAGGCUAUGCGACUUUUGAUCAAAACAGAGCUACAGGGCUUCUAAAUAAAAGGGAUCAUCUGAAAUUAGUGUUGUUUGAAAUGGCUAAUUUUGAGGUUUCCAGUGUUUAUAUGAAAAUUUAAGUUUUCUUAAAAGUACUUUGAAAUUGGUAUUGACAUUGACUCUCCUUAAGGUAGAAUUUGAAAGCUUUUCAUACAUUGGAACUCUACCUGGCUUUGGACCAACCCCAGAACAAAGCAGAGCUUGCUCUCCUGCUGUAACUUCAACAGCUUGCAUGAAAGAACUCACUUUAAAAGGAGAAAUUAUAUACUUUUAAAAGAUAUUAAUUUGUAUAAAAUAACUUGCUCUGCUAUAAACCACCUUUAAAAACCAGUGUUUUGGUUUUGUACUUAAAUAUUUUUGGAGUGAAAAUUACCUCUAAAGUAAUAUAUGACUCCAACAAAAACAAAAUUUUAUUGUAUCAAAGAAAAAAAAAACCAAUAGAGAAAAUGGAAUACUAAAAAGUACUCAAUUAAUUUAAGACAGGAAAGGAUGCACAAAAGAAUGAAGAACAGAGGAAAUGGACAGAAAACGAGUGGCAAGAUGGUAGAAUUAAAGCAAAUUAUAUCAAUAAUUUUAUUUAAUAAAUAGACUAAACACUCCAAUUAAAAUGCACUUUGUCAGGCUGAAUAAAAAAGUAAGACACAGGUCAACACUGUUUACAAGAGAUGUACUUAAAAUAUUAACACACUGACAGGGUAAAGGUAAAAGAAUGGAAAAAGUUAUUUAUGCAAACACCAAAGAUAAGAAAGCUGGUGUGGCUAUGUUAAUAUCUGACACAGUAGAACAGAAGAUAAAGAUACUGGGUCACAGUGGUACAAAUGAUGUUAUGGACUGAAUUGUGUUCCCUCAAAAUUCAUAUACUGAAGUCCUAACCGCCGAUGUGACUGUACUUGGACACAGGGCCUUUGGGAAGGUGAUCAAAGUUAAAAGAGUUCCCAAGGACGGGGCCGAUAGGACUGGUUUCCUUAUAAGAAGAGAAGGAGACAGCAGAGAUCUCUCUCUCUGCACACAGGGAAGAAACGCCACAUGAGGACUCAGCGGGAACAUAAGCCGAGGAGAAAGCCCUUGCCCGGAGCCAACCCAGCUGGCACCUUGAUCUUGGACUUUGUAGCCUCCAGAUCUGUGAGAAAAUGAGUUUCUGUUGUUUAAGCCCCCCAGUCUUUGGUAUGCUGUUAAACCUCUUCCUGGUUUGCAGAAGAUCAUCUUCUUGUAUCCUCACGUGGCGGAGGGAGCAAGCUCUAGUCUCUUUCUCUUCUUAUAAGAUGCUAAUUCAUCAUGGGGGCUCCACCCUAAUGACCUCUUCUAAACCUAAUUACCUUCCACAGGCUCCAGCUUUUAAUAUCAUUCCGUUGGGGAGUUAGGGUUUCAACAUAUGAAUUUUAGGGGGACACAAACAUGCAGUCCAAAACAUACACACAUUCAUAUCGGCAUUUUCUUUUAAAUCUCUGUAUAUUGAAAAUUGAGUUCACACCAAUAGCUCUCAUUCCACUGGGUUUACUCUUGUUUUCUUCCCCCCCCUCGUAUUGCUGACUCCCGUCUCCAAUAGUAAGAAAUGUGGCUCCCCUUGUCCUUAGCACAUUGGUCCCUCAGCAUCCAUGGGGGAGCGGUUCCAGGACCCCUUUGGAUACCCAAAUCCAUGAUACUCAAGUGCCUUACACAAAAUAGUGUAGUGUUUUCCUAUAACCUAUGUAUAUCCUCUCAGAUUUUUAAAAUCAUCUCUUGAUUGCUUAUAAUACCUAAUACAAUUUAAAUAGUU